AGCAGUCGCCGCGGGAAUACAGAGGGUGCAAGCGUUAAUCGGAAUUACUGGGCGUAAAGCGCGCGUAGGUGGUUUGUUAAGUUGGAUGUGAAAGCCCCGGGCUCAACCUGGGAACUGCAUCCAAAACUGGCAAGCUAGAGUACGGUAGAGGGUGGUGGAAUUUCCUGUGUAGCGGUGAAAUGCGUAGAUAUAGGAAGGAACACCAGUGGCGAAGGCGACCACCUGGACUGAUACUGACACUGAGGUGCGAAAGCGUGGGGAGCAAACAGGAUUAGAUACCCCCGUAGUCCCUGUCUCUUAUAA
rnacentral:rRNA from 1 species